UACGGAGGGGGCUAGCGUUGUUCGGAAUUACUGGGCGUAAAGCGCGCGUAGGCGGCUUUGUAAGUUAGAGGUGAAAGCCCAGGGCUUAACCCUGGAAUUGCCUUUAAGACUGCAUCGCUAGAAUCGUGGAGAGGUGGGUGGAAUUCCGAGUGUAGAGGUGAAAUUCGUAGAUAUUCGGAAGAACACCAGUGGCGAAGGCGACUCACUGGACACGUAUUGACGCUGAGGUGCGAAAGCGUGGGGAGCAAACAGG
rnacentral:rRNA from 1 species